rnacentral:tRNA from 1 species
GGUCCCUUAGCUCAGUGGUUAGAGCAGGCGACUCAUAAUCGCUUGGUCGUUGGUUCAAACCCAACAGGGGCCACCA